rnacentral:rRNA from 1 species
GCAUGGAUUAGGCAUGCAAGUCGAACGGUGAAGCAGAGCUUGCUCUGUGAAUCAGUGGCGAAAGGGUGAGUAACGCGUGAGUAACCUACCUUUAAGUUGGAAAUAGCUCCGAGAAAUCGGAAUUAAUGUCGAAUGUGAACAGUUUUUCGCAUGGAAUUCUGUUUAAAGAUUUUUCGCUUAUUGAGGGGCUCGCGUCCCAUUAGCUAGUUGGUAAGGUAACGGCUUACCAAGGCCAAGAUGGGUAGCUGGUCUGAGAGGAUGAUCAGCCACACUGGGACUGAGACACUGCCCAGACUCCUACGGGAGGCUGCAGUCGAGAAUCUUCCGCAAUGCGCGAAAGCGUGACGGAGCGAUGCCGCGUGCAGGAUGAAGGCCCUUGGGUUGUAAACUGCUGUCACUCGGGACGAAGUCUGACGGUACCGAGAGAGGAAGCCACGGCUAACUACGUGCCAGCAGCCGCGGUAAUACGUAGGUGGCGAGCGUUGUUCGGAUUUAUUGGGCGUAAAGGGUCCGCAGGGGGUUUAUUAAGUCUGAUGUGAAAUCCCACGGCUCAACCGUGGAACUGCAUUGGAAACUGAUAGACUAGAGUAUCGCAGAGGAAAGCGGAAUUCCUGGUGUAGCGGUGGAAUGCGUAGAUAUCAGGAAGAACAUCGAGAGCGAAGGCAGCUUUCUAGGCGAUUACUGACCCUCAGGGACGAAAGCGUGGGUAGCGAACAGGAUUCGAUCUCCUGGUAGUCCACGCCGUAAACGCUGUGAACU